GAGAGAGAGAGAGAAAACCAGUAGAUAGGCUAGACCAGAUAAAGAAUAGAGAAAGCUAGUAUUUUUUUUUUUUUUUUUUAAUGAAAACAAGCAGUGAGAAAACAAAUAGAGAGUGCAAGUGUUAGAGAGUCAUACAUAAGCAGGCUUUGUAAUAGGCUAAAUAGGGGGUUGAAUGUUCGUAAAAAAAAAAAAAAAAAAAAACCACCAAAUCUUAAACUACUUUAACUAUAAAACUUAAUCUUUUUAUACUUUUAUACUUAUUAUCACUGUAAAAGUGAUGUUUUAUCUGACUCACGUGCAGGGGUGGCGUUUUUCACCUGUGAAUGGGUCAUGGAACUACGAAAAAAACCUUAAAUUGAUUAUUUAAUAAUUUAAUUAGAUUUAAGUUAUUUAUUAACGAAAUCUUUGUUUAGCCUAUGUAAAUUCCGCGUGCUUUAAUGAGCGCGCGCUGAACAUUGGAGUAGCGUUCAUUCAGAUUCAAACACUGGAGCGGAGGGAGUUGCCAUGGAAACGGGGCGACCGACAACACUGGCAAGCUGCAAGCUCCGUUUCUUGCUGCUGUUUUCACUGCUUUCGAUUGCUUGUUAUAUUUCCAGAUUCUUUCGUGCUUGAUGUUCUUCUGCAUCCCAGAGUCUGAGCAAACCUCCUGUCCAACAACAUCUCCAAGACACACUGAACCAUACGGCUAGCAGCGACAAACACAUCGUGGACCAAAGAGGAAACUGACAACACACAGACAGACAAGACAGAGAUAGUUACUUCUGCCUCGCGUGUGAAGACUUCAGAAGAUGCCAGACCUCACAAAGAUUUCAGAUGAUGGCAACUAUAGAUGAACUUGCAAAGCUGCUUAAUAAUCCUUAUAUUGUAAUCAUUGCCCUAAAAGGUAAGUUUGCAGAUUUUUAACCAGCUUUGUAUGGACCCUUUAUUCACAUUUCUGGGUUUCUCAGUAGCGGAAAGUAGUCCAAUUGGGUUAACUUGAAGAGCAGUGAAUGGGAGAGUACCACAAAUAUAUUUUCUGCAUUCCCAAAGAGCAAAAGAAAAACUCCACGAUAGUGUUUUCAUGACUUUCAAUAAAAGGAAAACAAUUGAGAGAGAGACUUCUAACAGCAGUCAGAAGAGAAAACGAUGUCAAAUUUACCAUCCCUCCCAUAGACGCUGCAUUAAAGUGAAAGUGACGUGACAAACAGCCAAGUAUGGUGACCCAUACUCAGAAUUGGUGCUCUGCAUUUAACCCAUCCAAAGAUACGGACAAAAUCGAAUCAAAUUUCUUUGAUCAAUUUUGCGAUUUCGAUUUUAAUCACGAUUUUGACACACACAGAUAUGCUUUACAGCCAUAAAUGCAUUUAGUAUGAAUUUGAAACAUAUUUCCAAAAGAAAACCAAUUAGAGCUUUAUCAAAAAGUUGUAACAUGUCUCUAGAACAGACAGAAGUCAAAAUAAUCACUAAAUAAAGGUGUUACAAAAUGUCUACCAUAUGGCAAAUCAAUAAAAUAAAAAUAAAUCCCGUGUACAGGUAUUUUUUUUUCUUUUUUGCCAUGCAUUGGUCAUAGAGCUCAUUGUACUGGUGCCUCAGGUGUUGAAAUAUAUAUUGAAACAAAGCACAUUAAAAUAAUGCGGAAGCGCGAAUCUCUCCACUCCCACACCAAUUUUUUUUAAUGCAAAACAAUAGUAAUUUUUUCAUCACAUAUUUUUUUCAUAUUCCUCUGAAAUUAAAAGAAUACUGCACAUUGUAAUUUCUAUGAGUUAAGUCUAUUAUCAAAGCAUUUGUCAGUAAUACAGUUUAAAUGGGGGAAAUAUGUGAACGAUUGCAGGCUGAUUUAAGGUGUGCCCCUAAAUGUUCUGCUUGUACUGCUAGAAAUUUUCAGUCAGGGGCUCUAGUGCUUCUUAUAAAAAUAGUUAGUCUGGAGCCCUGUAAAAUAUUAAUUAGUUUGGACAUCUUACCUUUUUGCAUGUUUACUGAAGAGCACUUUGGGAUUCCGUAUGUAUUUAUGAUACAAAUGUAAAUGGCUGUAAAUGAACUUAAAAAGCUGUUGCAUGCCAUGUCUCAUAAGCACUCGUCUGUUAGCAAUGGUAAUUUUAUUUAACAACAUUAUUAAUGAGAUCAUUGAAAAAGUAAUAUUGUGCCUUUAUUAAACGAUCCUCUACGAAAAUACAUUUUUACUGUGUUAUCGAUGUACUUUCAGGACGGAUCUUAUCAGCAAAUCUACUUCACAGCACAUCAGUGAAAACAGUUGACAGUUACAGACGGGUGUGUUGGAUCAGGUUCAGAUCUGAAUUCUGAUGGUUUUCUGGGAUGACAGUUGAAGAGAUCAGCACAUCAGAUGUUGGUCUGGACAGCUGUACCUACAGUACACCACAGUGACCUCUCUGCUUUUGCAUGGAUGGCUGACUACUACCAUGUUCUGUGAAGGUAUUAUUAUAGCAAACCUGAGCACCUGUGACAGUGGAAUAGUUGUAAUGAAUAGUCACACAUGCAUAUUGGUAAAUUUAAAGUCACAGAUAAUUUUUUUUAGUACUAGCAAUAUUUUUAUUUUAAAUUUUUUACUAAUUCUCUCCAGCAAACACAACACAACAGUUACACCAUUUCAAAUUCUGAGGUGCACAAAUCCUAUUCUACAAAUAAGAGAACAACAGUAUAAAAGUGCUCAGUUUAGCCCCUUUCACACUGAGAUUCCAGAUGAUACACGGGUAAUUGUUCCCGGAUCGUUAGAUUUUGGUUCAUUCACACUGCCAGUGAGUGCGUUCACACACAACCGGUAAAGGUCCCAUAAUGAUACGAGACAUCAGGAUGUGAUGUGUAAUGUACGAGUUGAAAACGCUAGGCCGCCAAAAAACGGAAGAAGGAGAAGAAGCAAACCAGAAGUGUUUUCAAUACUUUAUAAACAUGGCAGCUGAUCAGCUACUGGGGCCAUUGUUGUUUAUGUAUAAAGCAUCUUCCACACAGAAAUUCCGGAAAAUACACCAAUAAUGUGUUCCAGGAUCCUCUAAUUGUGGUUCAUUCACACUGCCAGUAAUUUUCUGGAAUCUGUGUGUGCGUUCACACACAACCCAUAAAGAUCCCGUAAAGACACGUGACAUUACGAUGUGACGUGUUUUGUUUCACUUAAACUGGUGAACGAUCUCAGCUUCAGCACGGAUAGUGAGGAACUAACUGAUCUCUGCUUCAUUACAAUUUGCACAUUUUUUUCGUCACGAAUGUUGAUCUGCCUUCAAAACACCUGCUAAAAGAGUCGCAUGAUAACGUGCGUCAUCACUACGACACAUCCUUUACGCCAUUGGUUCUGGCUUUUGUUCACACAGAGCUCGUUCUAGGUAAGGUAAGUGCUAGUAUCAGUGGUGGAGGUGCUGAGGAAAAAAAAAAAAAGAGGUGUCUUUAAGAGGUGUUUUUGGAAAAUGGCUGAAGACUCAGAUGCUCGAAUUGAGAAAGGCAGGUCAUUCUACCAUGAUCUUAUCUACAAAUACUACUGUUCUCAUAAAGUCUGUAAAUAUGUCCAGUUCUAAUAAACACACAUUUCAGGAAAAAAUAAUUCAAUAAUAUGACCAAAAUGAAAUACAGCCCUGCAUAAAUCUGGUAUAACUGAGUCUGUGAAUUUCUUAAUUUGUGAUUUGUAGAAUAGGAUUUAUGCACCUGCAAUGAAGAUUUUGAGAAGGUUUUGUUGUGUUUGUGAGAGAGAAAGAAACAAAAUACAAGCUUGUAACUCCAAAAACAUUUUCUUGAUAACUUUACUGAAAUAUUCUCUACAAAUACAAAUUCCACUGUCACAGGUGCUCAAUUUUGUUACAAUAAUGUACAAAGUGUCUCAAAUGUACUAUAGAUGUACUGUAUGCAAAUAAAACAAAGGGACAUUAACAACUGAAUAUUCAGGGGAUGGAAACUUAUCACCUUUAAGUAAAAUUGAAUUUUGAAUCUAAAUAUCAUUUGCAUGAUUUGUGUAGAUCCAAAAGAGUUUUUAAAAGUGCAUUAGUUAAAUAGCACAUGCUAAAUAGCACAAGGCAUAUUUUACAUGUUAUUUACAUAAUAAAAAGAUAAGGGAAACAUGUUUUACAUCAAGUGUUGCCAUUUUAUAUGAAAAUAUACAAAAGAUAAUAUUUUUGAGGCACAUGAUAAAAAAAUUACCCCCAAACUUGAGGGAAAUGUAAUAAUGGAGUGAUGGUUAAUGUAUAAAAAAAGCAACUAAAAACUAACUUUAUUGUCUUAUUUGUCUGUCUGCUGAUAUUUAAUUGUGGGUUACAUCGUCACCUUUUUCAAACCUGACCUGAAUAGUUCACAUCCCUGAUAUUACAAAGAACUUAAGUUUUAAUUGGUAAUAACAUUUUUAUUCAGUGAAUAUGGUUUUUAAUUUGUUACUUGACACUAUUUAUAUUAGCCUAUAAUAUACUUUAUACCUUUAUACCUCUUUGUGUGUGUAUUUGUGUGUAAAUGCAUUUUCUUUGCUAGACAUAGAAGGUUUGUGCUCUAAACAUGUAUUUGUAACAGUGUUUAAACUGUAUUCGUAUUGUAUAAAUAAUAAAGAAAUUAUGACUGAAUGUGAUGUGUGUUUAAUAAAUUAUUACAUAUACAGGCUAAUUUAUUUAGUACUAAGUAUGUGAGAUUUUUAAAACAAGCAGAAAAUGUUAAUAGUAACGUCAUUUUACCCAUAUGAAAUCAACAUCGUUUCAACGUUAAGUAAGCAAACCAAUUAGAUCGAUUUUAUGUUGAAAACGUGUUGAUUCUCUGACGUCGUUUCAACCAACUGAAAUUCUACGUCGAUUCAACGUUAGGUAAGUGAACCAAUUGCGUCGAUUUUCCGUUAGUUUUGAAUGGCGUGCCUGACGUUGGAUCAACGUUAACCCGAUGAGCAAAACGAUGUUGGAUCGACGUCGGAGAUCAACGUCGUUUCGACGCCACGCGAAACGUCGAUUCUACGUUGAUUCUAUGUUAGUUUGCUAUCUG
ensembl:lncRNA